UGUUGGUGAGAGGGUCCGGGCCGGUUCCUAGCCUCUUCCUCCCUCCUUUGCGGCCUACUUCUAGGCGGGACAGCGCGGGGGGCAUUUUCAUGCCUUCUCUCCGGCUGCUGGGGCAUCGGAGGUGGAGGCUGUGGCCUCGUCCGAGGCUGCUGAGCCUGCUGUUGACUGGGCCUCGGUUCGGCAGGGCUGAUUCUGUCAAAAACACUUCCUGCUCUCCUAUGUCUUGGGUCUUGCUCAUAUGGAGGUGGAAAGUUAUCAUGGCUCAUUUGGACCUCGGUGGGUCGGCCAGAUGCAUAGUUGGAGGAAAUGUCGACUCCCACUUCCCUCUCGAAUGGGCUUUCACCUCGGCCAUAGUCUGGCGAGGCAGCCCUAUGACUCUGGACCUCGUCCUCUUGCUGAUAGUGCCCGUGGGGGGCAUAUGGAGGAAUGGGGAAGCCUCCCUGGCCUUGCAUUUGGGCCAUGAGCUCCCUCAUGGCCAAGUUUUGGUUGGCUAUAUCCCUCAUGUUGGCUGCCAUGGUAGCCAUUUCUCUUGAUAGUCGUGCUGUCGCACGCAUCCCACCUCUCCUUUGGUGGUGGUGGAGCCUCGGCCGAGCUGCUGGGGCAGCAGGCUGGGGAGGCACAUUCGUGCUUUCUCUUACCCUCCUUGGGGGAGUAUCUUCGUUAGAACUCAUUUUUCUUUUAUCAAACUUAGAUUUCUCUAAGUGAUAGGGGUUCCUCCUGUUCUUUUUCAAGAACAAAUCCUUUUUCAAGGGGGGUUGCCCAAAUGUUUUUCAGUAAGCUUCUACCACAAGGUUGCUCGUGGUUAUGGUAUGGUUUCCCACAGACGGCGCCAAUCUGUUGACCCCAAAAAGUGCGCCAACAGAUGCCGGUCCCACCCGCGCUUGCGUGGGCGAAUGUCCAACAC
rnacentral:lncRNA from 1 species